CUACGCACUCCUACGGGAGGCAGCAUGGGGGAAUAUUGCACAAUGGGCGCAAGCCUGAUGCAGCCAUGCCGCGUGUAUGAAGAAGGCCUUCGGGUUGUAAAGUACUUUCAGCAGUGAGGAAGGUGGGUAUGUUAAUAGCAUACUCAUUUGACGUUAGCUGCAGAAGAAGCACCGGCUAACUCCGUGCCAGCAGCCGCGGUAAGUACGGAGGGUGCGAGCGUUAAUCGGAAUUACUGGGCGUAAAGCGCAUGCAGGUGGUUUGUUAAGUCAGAUGUGAAAGCCCGGGGCUCAACCUCGGAAUUGCAUUUGAAACUGGCAAACUAGAGUACUGUAGAGGGGGUAGAAUUUCAGGUGUAGCGGUGAAAUGCGUAGAGAUCUGAAGGAAUACCGGUGGCGAAGGCGGCCCCCUGGACAGAUACUGACACUCAGAUGCGAAAGCGUGGGGAGCAAACAGGAUUAGAUACCCCUGGUAG
rnacentral:rRNA from 1 species